UUCUGUAAGCCUGUGAAGGUGAGUUGAGAAGCUUGCUGGAGGUAUCAGAAGUGCGAAUGCUGACAUGAGUAACGACAAUGGGUGUGAAAAACACCCACGCCGAAAGACCAAGGGUUCCUGCGCAACGUUAAUCGACGCAGGGUUAGUCGGUUCCUAAGGCGAGGCUGAAAAGCGUAGUCGAUGGGAAACAGGUUAAUAUUCCUGUACUUCUGGUUACUGCGAUGGAGGGACGGAGAAGGCUAGGCCAGCUUGGCGUUGGUUGUCCAAGUUUAAGGUGGUAGGCUGAAAUCUUAGGUAAAUCCGGGGUUUCAAGGCCGAGAGCUGAUGACGAGUCGUCUUUUAGAUGACGAAGUGGUUGAUGCCAUGCUUCCAAGAAAAGCUUCUAAGCUUCAGGUAACCAGGAACCGUACCCCAAACCGACACAGGUGGUCGGGUAGAGAAUACCAAGGCGCUUGAGAGAACUCGGGUGAAGGAACUAGGCAAAAUGGCACCGUAACUUCGGGAGAAGGUGCGCCGGCUAGGGUGAAGGAUUUACUCCGUAAGCUCUGGCUGGUCGAAGAUACCAGGCCGCUGCGACUGUUUAUUAAAAACACAGCACUCUGCAAACACGAAAGUGGACGUAUAGGGUGUGACGCCUGCCCGGUGCCGGAAGGUUAAUUGAUGGGGUUAGCGCAAGCGAAGCUCUUGAUCGAAGCCCCGGUAAACGGCGGCCGUAACUAUAACGGUCCUAAGGUAGCGAAAUUCCUUGUCGGGUAAGUUCCGACCUGCACGAAUGGCGUAACGAUGGCGGCGCUGUCUCCACCCGAGACUCAGUGAAAUUGAAAUCGCUGUGAAGAUGCAGUGUAUCCGCGGCUAGACGGAAAGACCCCGUGAACCUUUACUGUAGCUUUGCACUGGACUUUGAGCCUGCUUGUGUAGGAUAGGUGGGAGGCUUUGAAGCGUGGACGCCAGUUCGCGUGGAGCCAUCCUUGAAAUACCACCCUGGCAUGCUUGAGGUUCUAAC
rnacentral:rRNA from 1 species